AGAGUUUGAUCAUGGCUCAGGAUGAACGCUGGCGGCGUGCCUAAUACAUGCAAGUCGAGCGAAUGGAUUAAGAGCUUGCUCUUAUGAAGUUAGCGGCGGACGGGUGAGUAACACGUGGGUAACCUGCCCAUAAGACUGGGAUAACUCCGGGAAACCGGGGCUAAUACCGGAUAACAUUUUGAACCGCAUGGUUCGAAAUUGAAAGGCGGCUUCGGCUGUCACUUAUGGAUGGACCCGCGUCGCAUUAGCUAGUUGGUGAGGUAACGGCUCACCAAGGCAACGAUGCGUAGCCGACCUGAGAGGGUGAUCGGCCACACUGGGACUGAGACACGGCCCAGACUCCUACGGGAGGCAGCAGUAGGGAAUCUUCCGCAAUGGACGAAAGUCUGACGGAGCAACGCCGCGUGAGUGAUGAAGGCUUUCGGGUCGUAAAACUCUGUUGUUAGGGAAGAACAAGUGCUAGUUGAAUAAGCUGGCACCUUGACCGUACCUAACCAGAAA
rnacentral:rRNA from 1 species